rnacentral:misc_RNA from 1 species
CCAAUUGCUUCCAGUGUCGUUCGAUGAACGUUAACUGGUUCGUUUGUUCAAGAUACCUGAGUUGUGGAAGAUUUUAGAUCGUUUAGAGAAGCGAUGAUUGAAAAAGAAGAAGAAAAAGAAGAAGAAGAAGAGGAAUUGUAUUCAUCUGUUCCCAGGGAUAAAAUAUUUUCACUGUAGUAUGCUUUCUUUGAAGAGCAUUUCCCCUGUAAUUUUGGAUAGUAGAGGAAACAUUUCGUGUGUUAAAAUUAAUGAAUGUCUCCUACAAAACUUGAGAUGUGUAAAAACUGAGAAACUUCAAAGAUAUCACCGUAAUGACGUUGACAGAGAACGAAGAAUUAGAAGAUUGAAAAACAAUGUGAAAAUUUCUAUUCGACAAUUAAAACUAAGGGUUUAAUCCAAUUAAAGAGAACGAAUUUACAAAAUAUCGAUAUUUGUCAUUGAUAAACAGAACAGGAAGCAAUCAGAGGAAUUCGACGUGAUGCAAGCAGGUCGUGUACGUGAUGUUGCAUUAGCACGUGAAAGUGCAAUACACGAUCAAUUAUUCGCCACCGUAAAUCGAUCGCAAUGAAACUGUUACAGAAUUUAAUAGUCGCUUCGCGUUCACCAGUGAACGUUCGAUAUCGCACCGUUACAUUCACGUGAAAAUCGAGCUGCAAAAUAGUAAAUGAUUGUACGGAAGUAGGGGUUCAGAAUGUUGUUAUUUACAUUUUGAACUGUUUAAUAAUGAACGAUACUAACUGUUUACUGGGAACUAAUAACAAAUAAUUUUUAUGAAUUUUUCAAAUUUUAGGUAGAGAUUAUUUGAAACUGAACAUAAGUCAAAGAUUUUUACAUAUGAAUUCCAAACAGACUUUUUGCAAAUUCUGGAGUAAAGUAAUAAUCUCGGUAAACGUGAAUAUUCCAGCGGAAAUAAUGGACGAGGACG